GACGAACGCUGGCGGCGUGCCUAAUACAUGCAAGUCGAGCGCAGGAAGUCAUCCGAACCCUUCGGGGGGACGUUGACGGAAUGAGCGGCGGACGGGUGAGUAACACGUAAAGAACCUGCCCUCAGGUCUGGGAUAACCACGAGAAAUCGGGGCUAAUACCGGAUGGGUCAUCGGACCGCAUGGUCCGAGGAUGAAAGGCGCUCCGGCGUCGCCUGGGGAUGGCUUUGCGGUGCAUUAGCUAGUUGGGGGGGUAAUGGCCCACCAAGGCGACGAUGCAUAGCCGCCAGGAGAGGGGGAUCGGCCACACGGGAAAUGAGACACGGCCAAGACACCUACGGGAGGAACAAGUGGGGAAUAUUCAACAAGGGGCGAAAGUCUGAUGGAGCAAGGCCGCGGGAGGGAAGAAGGCCGUGGGAUUGGAAAGUUCGGUGGGGGGGGAAGAAAAGGGGCCAGAGAAAAGGGGGGAGCUUGGACGGUACCUAGAGAAAAAGCAACGGCUAACUACGGG
rnacentral:rRNA from 1 species